UGGAAAAUUCCGCUAAAGAGGGUGAAAGCCCCGUAGACGAAAUGCUAACAACACCUAGGAGGAUCCUGAGUACGGCGGAACACGAGAAAUUCCGUCGGAAUCCGCGGGGACCAUCCCGCAAGGCUAAAUACUCCCUAGUGACCGAUAGUGAACCAGUACCGUGAGGGAAAGGUGAAAAGCACCCCGGAAGGGGAGUGAAAUAGAUCCUGAAACCGUGUGCCUACAACAAGUCAAAGCUCGUUAAUGAGUGAUGGCGUGCCUUUUGUAGAAUGAACCGGCGAGUUACGAUUGCAUGCGAGGUUAAGUCGAAGAGACGGAGCCGCAGCGAAAGCGAGUCUGAAUAGGGCGAAUGAGUAUGUAGUCGUAGACCCGAAACCAUGUGAUCUACCCAUGUCCAGGUUGAAGGUGCGGUAAAACGCACUGGAGGACCGAACCCACGUACGUUGAAAAGUGCGGGGAUGAGGUGUGGGUAGCGGAGAAAUUCCAAACGAACUUGGAGAUAGCUGGUUCUCUCCGAAAUAGCUUUAGGGCUAGCCUCGGAAUUGAGAAUGAUGGAGGUAGAGCACUGUUUGGACUAGGGGCCCAUCUCGGGUUACCGAAUUCAGAUAAACUCCGAAUGCCAUUCAUUUAUAUCCGGGAGUCAGACUGCGAGUGAUAAGAUCCGUAGUCGAAAGGGAAACAGCCCAGACCACCAGCUAAGGUCCCAAAAUAUAUGUUAAGUGGAAAAGGAUGUGGGGUUGCACAGACAACUAGGAUGUUGGCUUAGAAGCAGCCACCAUUUAAAGAGUGCGUAAUAGCUCACUAGUCGAGUGACCCUGCGCCGAAAAUGUACCGGGGCUAAACAUAUUACCGAAGCUGUGGACUACACCAUUAGGUGUAGUGGUAGGAGAGCGUUCUAAGGGCGUUGAAGGUCGAUCGUGAGGACGGCUGGAGCGCUUAGAAGUGAGAAUGCCGGUAUGAGUAGCGAAAGACAGGUGAGAAUCCUGUCCACCGUAUGACUAAGGUUUCCUGGGGAAGGCUCGUCCGCCCAGGGUUAGUCGGGACCUAAGCCGAGGCCGAUAGGCGUAGGCGAUGGACAACAGGUUGAUAUUCCUGUACCAGUUGUUUUUGUUUGAGCAAUGGAGGGACGCAGUAGGCUAAGGAAUGCAUGCGAUUGGAAGUGCAUGUCCAAGCAAUGAGUCUUGAG
rnacentral:rRNA from 1 species